UGCAGGAGUUCUAGACUGUAGAAAUGAGAUGUUUCUUUGUUAAAUGUUUGACUAUAUUGAAUUUAUUGUUGUGGUUGUCUCAGAACAAGUUGUAUAAGCAGAGGCCAUAUUUAAAUUUAUCUAAGUUUGCUGGCACAGAGGAUUUGGAUAGGGCCAAACGAUCUCCCUUUGCUGCUUCCAGAAACACAGUAAAAUAUUCUCCAGGAUAGCAGCACAACCUUUAGGCUGAAAUCAUUCUGAUUGCUUGGGGUCAGGGUACUAGGUUCAGGGAAAGAAAAAUGUCUCUGCCUCUCCUACCUAGAUUUCCUCAACCUAUUUACACUGAAUAUUCAGAAGAUUUCCAUCAAUUGGUAACAAAAAGCUGAAAAAUAUUUCCAGCAUUACAUUUUCAAAAUUAUUUCCAUAAGCCAUGAAAGACAAUCUUUCUUCUUCAUACUUUCCUCCAAAAAUUAACCUAGUAUGCAGCAUCUAUACUCUCCCUAUCCACAUCAACAAUUCUGCUCUUUGAAAAGUACUUUUCUUCAUGUCAUCUUUCCAACUUGCUAUAUUCCUAUAUAGCUCUUACCUUCUGUAAUGAGACACGUAUGAGAGAAUGGAAUGGACAUAAGGUUUUUGUUCUGACAUACUCUCCCACCUGAACACAUAUUUGCUUAAAUAUCUAUAUUGUGGGAUCCUAGAGGAGGAGGAGAGUGGGAAAUGUUUAUGAGAACGAGGAGAGAAAAACAGAUCUCAUCAUUCUGUUUCAUUUGUUUUGAAACAAGUAAAUAGUUCAUUGUGUUUGUGAAAUAAAUGAAUGAUGAAUGAAUGAAUAUAUUAAAUUCUAAUUACCACAAAGAAAUUAUUCUCGGGAAACAGAAAAUGGUCUUCCUGUUAUAUCUGCAGAAAUCACUCUCAGAAGAGGAAGAGAAAGAGAACACAAGCAAAUACAGCAGCAAGCAGAGAGAAGGAGAAGCAGGCUCUCUACUGAGCAGAGAAGCCAAUGUGGGGCUCGAUUCCAGGACACUGAAAACAUGACCUGAAGCAAAGCAAUUCAUGAAAAUUGUCAGAAGGUUUCCACCAGUUCACGGCUCUAGCAGCUUCUGCUACAGAAGAUUUUAUGUAUUCAUGAAAGACACAGAGAGAGAGGCAGAGACAUAGGC